UACGUAGGGUGCAAGCGUUGUCCGGAAUCAUUGGGCGUAAAGCGCGUGUAGGCGGCCCGGUAAGUCCGCUGUGAAAGUCCAGGGCUCAACCCUGGAAUGCCGGUGGAUACUGUCGGGCUCGAGUCCGGAAGAGGCGAGUGGAAUUCCUGGUGUAGCGGUGAAAUGGCGCAGAUAUCAGGAGGAACACCAAUGGCGAAGGCAGCUCGCUGGGACGGUACUGACGCUGAGACGCGAAAGCGUGGGGAGCAAACAGG
rnacentral:rRNA from 1 species